rnacentral:sRNA from 1 species
GAGCGGACACAGCCCCACGCGCGGGGCCAUGCAGGUGGCCAUGAACGGUAAGGCCCGCCAAGAGGCGGUGCAGACUGCGGCUAAGGAACUCCUCAAGUUCGUGAACCGGAGUCCCUCUCCUUUCCACGCUGUGGCUGAAUGCCGCAAACGCCUUCUCCAGGCUGGCUUCAGUGAACUCAAGGAGACUGAGAAAUGGAAUAUUAAGCCCGAGAGCAAGUACUUCAUGACCAGGAACUCCUCCACCAUCAUAGCUUUUGCUGUAGGGGGCCAGUACGUUCCUGGCAAUGGCUUCAGCCUCAUCGGGGCCCACACGGACAGCCCCUGCCUCCGGGUGAAACGUCGGUCUCGCCGCAGCCAGGUGGGCUUCCAGCAAGUCGGUGUGGAGACCUAUGGUGGUGGGAUCUGGAGCACCUGGUUUGACCGUGACCUGACUCUGGCUGGACGCGUCAUUGUCAAGUGCCCUACCUCAGGUCGGCUGGAGCAGCAGCUGGUGCACGUGGAGCGGCCCAUUCUUCGCAUCCCACACCUGGCCAUCCAUCUGCAGCGAAAUAUCAACGAGAACUUUGGGCCCAACACAGAGAUGCAUCUAGUCCCCAUUCUUGCCACAGCCAUCCAGGAGGAGCUGGAGAAGGGGACUCCUGAGCCAGGGCCUCUCAAUGCUGUGGAUGAGCGGCACCAUUCGGUCCUCAUGUCCCUGCUCUGUGCCCAUCUGGGGCUGAGCCCCAAGGACAUAGUGGAGAUGGAGCUCUGCCUUGCAGACACCCAGCCUGCGGUGAGGACUGGCCGUAGGAACCUGUGGGUGAAGGGCCUCCAGGAUCCUGGCCACCCCUAGCCCGUCCUGCUGAAGCACCCAUCACCUCCACCAAGCCCUCAGUAACUCUCAUCCCCGUUCUUCCCAGUAGACACAUCCCCUACUGCUUCUAGGGCGGUGGUUCUCAAAAAGACAAGUUCCCUACCCCAGACCUGCCCACUAGGACUAUCUGGGAAUUGGCCCUUUUUACAGAUUCCCCAAGAGUUUCUUCUACAGGUGGGCCCUGUCUGCUUUGACCCACACUGACACUGAACUGCUUAGGGAAAGAGGCCUGGAUGUGGCCAUCUGUUCUCUGUCUCCCGGUUGCUGAUGGUCAGAGAUUGCUAAAUCUUUGGAUGCUGUGUCCUGCUUGAACACGUACUAAGUUUCUGUUUUUUGGCUGGUUUCCUCUGUUUACUUCUUUGGCCUUUUUGAUGACAAUUCAGCCCUUCCUUUUCUUGACCCACAGGAAGAGGUCAAGAGCUAUUGGCCUCCACCCUUUUGUUCCUCAGCACCAACCCAGCCCCCUUCUCCAAUCUCUGCUUGGUCCUGCCUAGCAAGGAAUCCCAGCACUUUGGGAGGCUGAGGCGGGGGGAAUCACAUGAGGUCAGGAGUUCGAGACUGGCCUGACCACCAUGGUGAAACCCUGUCUCUAAUAAAAAUACAAAAAUUAGCUGGGCCUGGUGGUGCAUGCCUGUAAUCCCAGCUACUCAGGAGACUGAGGCACGAGAAUCCUUUGAACCCGGGAGGCGGAAGUUGCAGUGAGCCGAGAUCGAGCCAUUGCACUUCAGACUGGGCAACAAGAGCGAACCUUCAUCUC